UUUAAAUCCUGUUUUUCCAACUUACCAUUCUGGUCAGAUAUCCCAUGAAGCAGUGGGUGGCAGGACAGGAGAAACC
rnacentral:miRNA from 1 species